rnacentral:rRNA from 1 species
AUUGAACGCUGGCGGAAUGCUUUACACAUGCAAGUCGAACGGCAGCACGGACUUCGGUCUGGUGGCGAGUGGCGAACGGGUGAGUAAUACAUCGGAACGUGCCCAGUCGUGGGGGAUAACGUAGCGAAAGCUACGCUAAUACCGCAUACGAUCUAAGGAUGAAAGCGGGGGGUCGCAAGACCUCGCGCGAUUGGAGCGGCCGAUGGCAGAUUAGGUAGUUGGUAGGGUAAAGGCCUACCAAGCCGACGAUCUGUAGCUGGUCUGAGAGGACGACCAGCCACACUGGGACUGAUACACGGCCCAGACUCCUACGGGAGGCAGAAGUGGGGAAUUUUGGACAAUGGACGCAAGUCUGAUCCAGCCAUUCCGCGUGCAGGAUGAAGGCCCUCGGGUUGUAAACUGCUUUUGUACAGAACGAAAAGGCUCUGGUUAAUACCUGGAGCUCAUGACGGUACUGUAAGAAUAAGCACCGGCUAACUACGUGCCAGCCGCCGCGGUAA